AGCAGCCGCGGUAAUUCCAGCUCCAAUAGCGUAUAUUAAAGUUGUUGCAGUUAAAAAGCUCGUAGUUGAAUUUCGGGAUCGACGGGUCGGUCGCGCCUCUGGUGUGUACUGGCCCUGUCGGUUUCUCCCUUCUGAAGAACCGCGAUGUCAUUAAUUUGGUGUCGUGGGAAAUCAGGACUGUUACUUUGAAAAAAUUAGAGUGUUUAAAGCAGGCAUUCGCUUGAAUACAUUAGCAUGGAAUAAUGAAAUAGGACGUUUGAUCUUAUUUUGUUGGUUUCUAAGAUCGACGUAAUGAUUAAUAGGGAUAGUUGGGGGCAUUAGUAUUCAAUUGUCAGAGGUGAAAUUCUUGGAUUUAUUGAAGACUAACUACUGCGAAAGCAUUUGCCAAGGAUGUUUUCAUUAAUCAAGAACGAAAGUUAGGGGAUCGAAGACGAUCAGAUACCGUCGUAGUCUUAACCAUAAACUAUGCCGACUAGGGAUCGGAUGAUGUUAAUUUUUAAUGACUCAUUCGGCGCCUUAC
rnacentral:rRNA from 1 species